AUGACAUUCAAAUCAGUAUUGGAAAAUGGCGCAAGUUUGUUUUCCGCCUGAGCGAGUCUGACCACAAGUCAGAGACCACUAUGACGACACACCAAACAAAUGUGUUUGAUGGAUCGCGGAAAAAGAGCAGGAAUAGAUUUUUGUAGUCUACAGUCCAAGUUAUGUCUUCCAAAAGUGCGAAUGCUGUCGGAAUCCAAAGAUUAUUCAACUUGAAUUAAAGAAUAUUCCAGUUAAACACAUUUUCUUUGCAGGUAGUUAUGCAUCCGAUGAGGCAGCGGAUAUCAAUGUUUUGUGGCAUGAUUUGGGUGACGGCCUCGUGUUUCUCUCUACCUCAUGCCAUUUAUCAGAAGCUGCUGUGGUUUGACUUUGGAAAGGUUUGAAUGGUGUGUCUGCCCAGCUUUCCACAGCCGUCAGAUGUGUUUUGGAAAUACUUGGACCUGGCCACGUUUUUCCUCCUCUACUUGUUGCCACUUUCUAUCAUCUCCAUAGCUUACAUUAUCAUUGCUGAGAAGCUAUGGAUGCGUAAUGCUAUAGGGGAUGUGACUCUGGCACAAUAUGUCACCCACAGACAAAGGAAGAAGAUGACUCUGAAGAUGCUGAUGUUGGUGGUGGCUGUUUUUGCUAUUUGCUGGUUCCCUUUAAACUGUUAUGUGAUUUUGGUGUCCAGCCAGGCCAUUAACACUAACAAUGCUAUCUACUUCACCUUCCAUUGGUUUGCCAUGAGUAGCACCUGUUACAAUCAUUUUAUCUACUGCUGGCUGAACAGAAGCUUCAGGACUGAGCUCAAGUCCCUGCCUUUCAUUUGGCGUUUCAAGAGGGCAGUACAUCCAUGCUGAGGUUGUCAUCUCUAUAACUACAUAGAUUAUGUAUAAAGGAUAUAGAGGUUAAUGCAGAGGUUAACAUCUUUCCAUAAGAUUCUGUCAAGGUUGCACCUAUCUCCAUUCGGUUGAUGUAAUUUAUAAUUAGAUCUAGGUCGACCUAUAAUAUGAAAUAUUAGAGAAUAACGGAAGUCUAUUUCUUUAAGGGGAGGUAAAAAUAAACAAUAAAAUGGUGAAGUAGUUUGUAAAAUAUUUUGUAAAUAAUCGGGAAAGAGAAUAUUAGUGAAACACUUGUAUGGAUACCGUAAUGGUAAAUAAAACUAAUGUGAUUUAGCAUGUUAUGUGUUUUUUCAAAACAUGAUAGCCUACAGCUACACAAUUCAAGUUAAAAAAUAUUUGUUUCAGUGUCUAUCGUUCUUUUAUAGUAUAAUGUUUGUAAAUGUGUAACUGUGCACAGAGUAAACUCGAAACAUUCACAAUCAUUCAUUAGUGCACACUAUUGCAUAGGGCUAUUCAAUUCUGUCCCUCAAGAGAUGUACAGUAGUACUGCUGUUUUUCUUUCAUCCCUGGUAGUUAGUUGGUCAGUGUAUGUCAUUGACCUUAGACUUGACCCACAAUGUAUUCUCAGGGCUGAUUCAUUCAGUCCCUGAUCAGAUGGAGGAAGUAAAACCACCAGUUAUGCGUGUGGCACUCAAGGAUUUUUCCUGGCCCUGCCAUAGCAUUAUGCAAUUAGUCAGAUCUGAUGAGCCAAGAUUAAGCAAGUGUGAAUACUUUUCACUGAAUUACCUUUAAAGGAGUACCCAUAAUGUCAUGUCAUGAUACUUGAAAUCAUUCAAAUAAUCUGAGCAGAACUAUCUACCAAUAUAAUUACUUUCCCAUAAAAAAAAAUAUUAUAAUUGCUUAAUUCGAUAAUUUAAUGAAUUUAUAUAAUUAGAUAUAUAGAUGAUCAUUAUAAAUCACAAAGUUAUUGAAUGGCUUGGAUUGACGAAUCAGCAUGCCGGAUAGAAAAAUGUACUUUUCUCACGACACCAUCUGCUGGUUGAAUCAUAGACAAUCUUCAUGUAUAAAAUUGGUUGAAAAUACACUAUGAAAUAGUGUCAGUGCCAGGGGAAUCAGAUGUGCUCAUGUGUGAGUAUUUCAUUUGUAUUUAAACUAAAUGUAUUUGUAUUUGAGUGUUUACCAGCAUUUGUAACUUGAGUCCGAUAAUUAUCUGUACAAAACAGUUAAUCUGAUAAUACUUGUGGAAUAUAAAAGUACUUGCUUGUUUUCCAGUUUCUUGAAAUACUUUGCAAAUACAAUGUAUUUCUAUUUGAAAACUGAAA